rnacentral:sRNA from 1 species
GCUGGGUGUGGUGGUGCACACCUGUAAUCCCAGUGACUGCGGAGGCUGAAGCAGGAGGAUUGCAAGUUUAAGGCCAGCCUCAGCAACUUAGCAAAAUCCUAAGCAACUU